GGCACAUCUAGUAGACCACUGGUGCAAUUUCACAGCUAGGACUGAUAUUACUCUUUCAGGAACUUAAACUGAAUCCUCCACACCGAAUAUAAGCUACCUGUGUUUUUUGUCCAAUCGAGUGUCGACUAUAGGGCCUGUUGUCGUGCAUUGGCAAGGUGGUGUUUCAUGAUCUCUCCCUGUUGCUCUCUAUACCUGCAGUUUAGUAAAGUUUGUUCUAAUCUAACUUAAUUGUAAAUAUGGCACCAUAGAAAACAGAUGGUGAGAGAUUAGCAUGCGCACUCUCUCCUGAUGAAACAACUUAUAGUAUUGGACAUGCUGGAGAAUACAUCAAACGUAGCAAGAUAAAAUCUCUGGUCAAAUGGCUGCAGUACAUAAACGUAUAAGGAACCAAGCUAAAAUAGCAUUCAGCUAUAAGCAUUACAAUCUACAUUGCGCCAUGUUCAGUAGAGGUGCCACAAAAUUACUCUCUUAAUGAUAUGAGAGAUAGGAAAAGUUAUCCGAGAUGGCUGACAGCAGGAGAAGUACAGAAAUUCUCUGUGUGUGUGUGGCUGCAAAUAUCUCAAAGUGACUUGACAUUAGAAACGAAGCAUAAUGUGGACCAAGCAUAAGGUACAUACAUUUGUAUGUUUCUGAAACAGUUCAUGCGGUAAGCCAUUUUAACCUUUUGUCUAAUGAUAUGAGAGAUGGCGUAUAAGUUAAUCUUAGGCCUAAAUCCAGGGGCGCGGCUGGCUGGUGCAUUAGGAUGCAGUGCCCUACUGCAGUUUUUUUUUAGACUUGAAUGACCAGGAGAAAAAAUGCUGAAAAGUUUGUAGCAAGUCCUGCGUCACGUGAUGGCACAUCCAGGAGGUUACUGAUGCAGUAGUCGGUAGGCUGGACAACGACACAUGAAGCUGUUGCAGUAUAUGCAAGCCAGCCUAAAGAAAUAAUAGUAAUAACGAAUAAAACGACAGGAGCUGCCGUUUCAUUAAAUCUUAAGCUGGAUAAUUCUGUGGAUGAAGUUCUAGAUACCGGAUAAUUCUGUGGAUGAAGUUCUAGAUACCGGAUAAUUAUACAUAGAUAGUCAUGCACAGAGCUGUAGGCACCAGCCACUCAGACACACAGUUCUAGGUAUGCAAUCUCAGAAAACUGCUAAGAUAUUCAUCUUGGAUACUGUUACAUAAGAUAGGCUUAAUAGCAUAAGCUGGCAAGCUGAUGAGAAGCCUCAUCUCCCAGUGGUUGAUUUAUUUACUUGAUUUUCCCUAGUAGUGAGCUUAUUCUGGCCUCGUCCUGCAAUGUAUGUCUGCAAUGCAAAUAGGAUGUAGAAUCAGUGCUUCGGUAUGAUGAAAUGUGAGGAGCUACACAACAACCUGGCAAGGCUGAUGUUUGUGCUUUCCCUUCAAGAGUGUCUUGGCCGGGCCUUUCUUGUUGUUGGUACUCUUUCUGUUCUUGUCUUUGGUUGCCUCACCCAUGUCCUGGUAGAAAGAACAUUAGAGCAUGUCGGGUCACUUGUCUACAGAGAGUCACCUAGGCUACUAUUUACCUCUUCCGUGUGUUGUUUGUGGGCUGCUGUUUUUUGGGAGCUGGUUUAGUGUGCUGAGCUCAUCGGCCGGCACAGCCACCUUAUAAGUUAUUGUAAGGCUGGAGUGGCUAGAAGAUGGCAGUGCUGGCACUGAGUCAUGUAUCAGUUGGGCCUCUGGGAUGGUAAAAACACCACUCCAGGAUCAGCAUUGUAGGUCUCCUUGUCUACUUGAGCGAUGAUAGUGCACUUCUUGCCAAUUGUCGUCAAAAUGGCAGCAGGAACAAAAUUAGGACAGCCUCGAGUAAGUGCAGCAAGAAGAUCUGCAUCUCUGCCCGUGAGAGCAGUGCUGCUCUCGGCCUCUCGCCGAAGAACGUGGAAUGGCCAGUGACGGGAAUGCUCUCAGCAUUUGGCUCCACGUCUGUUGCGCUUACCUUCAGCCUGUACCUGCAUAUAUCAACUGUUCUUUACCAGUUAUAUACACAUGGCACAGCUAUUUGUCUCAUGCUUCUUGUUUGUCUACGCAUAAUUUAUACCUGCGGUGUUAGCCCGUGGUGAAACAACUGGGGCACCUACGGCCUACGGGAAACUCCAGCUUGAACCAUUUUUCUCCAGCACCCCUUGCAAGCAUAGAACCACCAGUCGUUUGGAUCGUCCACAAUGGUGCAAAAUAAUAUGCAGGAACUGAGUAUGCAAAACAAUGUGGCAAACUAUGCGGUCUUGCACCAAAAUGAUUUUCGGUAAGCAGCCAUGGGCAACUAAGGUAACAUGUGGCAUAGUCAGUUAUUAUGUACUAAUUCUAAUUAUAGUCCAGUCGGUAAUUUAAGUUGUAGAUGAACCUUAAUUUAUGUCAGACUAAUUCCAUGGUGAAAGUGAAGAAAAAAAAGAAUGCAAGGAAUGCGUGUGAGCAUAUACUCUCAGCUGAUGGCAAAACGCCGCGUAAAAGAUCAAGAGGCAGGAUAAAGCACAGGCAAGACAGAAGAAUAAAGUACCGCCAACAGCGGUGUCAGGAAGCUCUUCAACAGGUCCCUUGCCUAACCAUAUCUCCCCCCUCCGAGCCUCUACAUCAGACAUUAUAGGCAGGACAACAGUGUAGUCUGAAGGAACUUUCCUGGAAGAAUUGAUAGUAGACGAAGCCCCGAAGGAAACAGAAGAGGCAAUCGUAGGCCUACCCCGCCAUAGAGAACGGGCCAAAGGGCAGUACUUCGUGCGCGCAUAGGCGACGAAGAGCGCAGAGCCACUCACAGCAGGAGCAACGUCUUGCGAACCAUGGCUGCCGGCGUGGAGGUGGAGAAACCGACGCAGAAGGUGGGUUUUCAGGUUGAGAACGCCCAGAUCCCCGAUGUAUGUCCGUAGCAGAUUGCACAGCAGAUGGAGAACCACCAGCAAUCACGGUGGGAACCUAAUGCGUGCAAUCGACACGUCCGUUGGAAACCCCAAGAGGAAGGUGUGAUGCGUACAGUAGCAAGUUGUCCCUCAGAAAGAAACCAAGGUUUAUCGA